GUCGGAGAUGGCAAGCGUUGUUCGGAAUUACUGGGCGUAAAGCGCGCGUAGGCGGUUAGGUAAGUUGGGGGUGAAAUCCUGCGGCUCAACCGCAGAACGGCCUCCAAUACUGCCUGGCUAGAGGGCGAAAGAGGGGAGUGGAACUCCUGGUGGAGCGGUGAUAUGCGUAGAUAUCAGGAGGAACGCCGGUGGCGAAAGCGACUCCCUGGGUCGCCCCUGACGCUGAGUGUGCGAAAGCCAGGGGAGCGAACGGGAUUAGAUACCCUCGUA
rnacentral:rRNA from 1 species